CAGGUACAGAAAUAGCUGCUCUGAGAGGUGUACUAGGAUUAAUCAAGAAAUAUGAGCUUCAGUCAGAGUACUCACCUCAGGUUAUUAGGGAUCGCAUCCUUAAGCUUAAAAAGCAGAAAAAUGAGAAAAAAGCCGCUGGAAGAUUCCCUAAACCUGUGGUUCAGCUGCAGCAGCAGAUUGGAAAUAAACGAACUGCUCCUGAUAAUUCACAACAGAAACAGCAGGAUACAUAUAAGCGUCUCCGGACAGUGGCAACAACAGUGCCUACCUCAAAUAUUUCUGUCAAUACGCCAAUGAACUUGAAACUACCAUCUUAUCAUCAAGAGGCAGGAUUGUACAGGGGUGAAGAUGCAAAAUACUUCUCCCCAUUAUCUGGAAGAACAGCACUGGCAAACAGCUUCACAAACGCUUCUGUUAGUGCUACUUUGACUAGUCAGUCAACACAAUUGUCUCGCAUGCGUACAGCAAGCUUAAUAUCGGGGCAAGGUGCACAGCAAUUAAUCCAAUCUUCCAGACUCUCCAGUUUGGCAGGCUCCUUUCCAGUUACUGCUCUCCUCUCCAGUUACUGCACCUACAACAUUGUCUGAUGGCAGAGCGCGUAAUGCUUUCCAUACGCUAUCAAUGAGUUCAGUGCCUGGACAGUAUAGGCCUAUUGGAUCUGUUCCUGCUGCUAACCAUCAUCACCAUACUCCAACAAUCGAUCGAUACCGUUUAAUGGCCUCAACAUCUUUCAGACCACAUAUGAGCGCAUUAGUUUCACAAUAUCAUACAAACAUCAGAAAUGAGAACACUGGUAGACUUGGAUCAACUGAUUUCCCCUACAGAAAUUGGCAUCGCAUCUAAUUCAAAUUCUUGUGAAUAAGUCCCUUGUAUCUUUGAGAAGCAGUUAGAACAUAUGCAAAAAAGUUCUAGGCAUACAUUGUUGUUUUUUGGUUAUGAAAUUUAUAGCUAACUUGUGAACGAGCGUUCCUUUCAUGCAAUAGCAACUCUGUAAUCAAUGGGUCCCGACUUUUGAGUGGCCUUGGCUUGACUUAUGUAACUCCUUGUAUUUGAUAACGCAGCA
rnacentral:misc_RNA from 1 species